GAGGGAAUUUUGGACAAUGGGCGCAAGCCUGAUCCAGCAAUGCCGCGUGCAGGAAGAAGGCCUUCGGGUUGUAAACUGCUUUUGUACGGAACGAAACGGUCCGGGUUAAUACCCUGGGCUAAUGACGGUACCGUAAGAAUAAGCACCGGCUAACUACGUGCCAGCAGCCGCGGUAAUACGUAGGGUGCGAGCGUUAAUCGGAAUUACUGGGCGUAAAGCGUGCGCAGGCGGUUUUGUAAGACAGGCGUGAAAUCCCCGGGCUCAACCUGGGAAUUGCGCUUGUGACUGCAAGGCUGGAGUGCGGCAGAGGGGGAUGGAAUUCCGCGUGUAGCAGUGAAAUGCGUAGAUAUGCGGAGGAACACCGAUGGCGAAGGCAAUCCCCUGGGCCUGCACUGACGCUCAUGCACGAAAGCGUGGGGAGCAAACAGGAUUAGAUACCCUGGUAGUCCACGCCCUAAACGAUGUCAACUGGUUGUUGGGAAUUUACUUUCUCAGUAACGAAGCUAACGCGUGAAGUUGACCGCCUGGGGAGUACGGCCGCAAGGUUG
rnacentral:rRNA from 1 species